rnacentral:rRNA from 1 species
CACGUAGGGUGCGAGCGUUUGUCCGGAAUUAUUGGGCGUAAAGAGCUCGUAGGCGGUGUGUCGCGUCGGCCGUGAAAACCUGCAGCUUAACUGUGGGCGUGCGGUCGAUACGGGCAUCACUGGAGUUCGGCAGGGGAGACUGGAAUUCCUGGUGUAGCGGUGAAAUGCGCAGAUAUCAGGAGGAACACCGGUGGCGAAGGCGGGUCUCUGGGCCGAUACUGACGCUGAGGCAC